AUCAAACCGGGAGAUAGCUGGUUCUCCCCGAAAUCUAUUUAGGUAGAGCCUUGAGCGGACACCUUCGGGGGUAGAGCACUGUUUCGGCUAGGGGUCCAUCCCGGAUUACCAACCCGAUGCAAACUACGAAUACCGAAGAGUGAUACUCAGGAGACACACGGCGGGUGCUAACGUCCGUCGUGGAGAGGGAAACAACCCAGACCGCCAGCUAAGGUCCCAAAGUCUAUAUUAAGUGGGAAACGAAGUGGGAAGGCUUAGACAGCUAGGAUGUUGGCUUAGAAGCAGCCAUCAUUUAAAGAAAGCGUAAUAGCUCACUAGUCGAGUCGGCCUGCGCGGAAGAUGUAACGGGGCUCAAAUAUAGCACCGAAGCUGCGGCAUCAGUAGCAAUACUGUUGGGUAGGGGAGCGUUCUGUAAGCGGAUGAAGGUGAAUCGAGAGGUUUGCUGGACGUAUCAGAAGUGCGAAUGCUGACAUAAGUAACGAUAAAGCGGGUGAAAAGCCCGCUCGCCGGAAGACCAAGGGUUCCUGUCCAACGUUAAUCGGGGCAGGGUGAGUCGGCCCCUAAGGCGAGGCUGAAAAGCGUAGUCGAUGGGAAACGGGUUAAUAUUCCCGUACUUGGAUAAACUGCGAUGUGGGGACGGAGCAGGUUAGGUUAUCGCACUGUUGGAUAUGUGCGUUUAAGUUGGUAGGUGUGAAGUUUAGGCAAAUCCGGACUUCUAUAACACCGAGAGAUGAUGACGAGGCUCUACGGAGCUGAAGUAACCGAUACCACACUUCCAGGAAAAGCCACUAAGCUUCAGGUUUAUCUAAACCGUACUGAAAACCGACACAGGUGGUCAGGUAGAGAAUACUCAGGCGCUUGAGAGAACUCGGGUGAAGGAACUAGGCAAAAUAGCACCGUAACUUCGGGAGAAGGUGCGCCGGCGUAGAUUGUAGUCCCUUGCGGGCGAAGGUUGAACCGGUCGAAGAUACCAGCUGGCUGCAACUGUUUAUUAAAAACACAGCACUCUGCAAACACGAAAGUGGACGUAUAGGGUGUGAUGCCUGCCCGGUGCUGGAAGGUUAAUUGAUGGUGUAAUCGAAAGAGAAGCUCCUGAUCGAAGCCCCAGUAAACGGCGGCCGUAACUAUAACGGUCCUAAGGUAGCGAAAUUCCUUGUCGGGUAAGUUCCGACCUGCACGAAUGGCAUAAUGAUGGCCAGGCUGUCUCCACCCGAGACUCAGUGAAAUUGAAAUCGCCGUGAAGAUGCGGUGUACCCGCGGCUAGACGGAAAGACCCCGUGAACCUUUACUAUAGCUUGACACUGAACAUUGAAUUUUGAUGUGUAGGAUAGGUGGGAGACUUAGAAGUAGUGCACGCCAGUGAUUAUGGAGUCGACCUUGAAAUACCACCCUUUAACGUUUGAUGUUCUAACGAAGAUUACGAAACGUGGUCUCGGACAGUGUCUGGUGGGUAGUUUGACUGGGGC
rnacentral:rRNA from 1 species